AUCCCAAUUUCCACUAAACUCGACCCAUACCCCUUUACCCGACCCAACUCCUUUUCACCCUCACAAAGAAACCCAUCAUCGUCUGUUUCAACAUCAAGAGCUAUUCACGCUCAAUGUACCAGCGGCGACGAUCCCAGACACGUGAGCGAUAGCGCGAAGGACCAAUCUGCAGUUCCAAUCAAUUUUCAAGCGAGGAGCACGCGACGAAGACAUUUUCAACAGCCAAUGGCGCGUGACCCCUGCGACCAGCGUCUGCUUUUCCUUUUGUUCGUUCGAUAGGGCAGAGUAGCCUGCAACUCUCGUCCUUACACGCUUGGAGAUGAAUCCACGUGUACGCCAAGGAUGAAAGCAUCGAUCAAAGUCGUCCAAUUUCCUGCCCCGUCCAGAUCUCACGCAAUUCGACUGAAUUUUUGUACAAAAACAGCAGUUGUUCUCCGUCCUUGGGCACGAGUUUUUGAAUUUUGAGAUUGGAUUUGGAUUCUCGUUUUUACCCUUACCUUUCCUGAUCGAAAACCCUAGCCUCCCUUCUAUGUAUAAUCCUUAUAGCUCACUGUGGGAAGGAGGUUCUUCUUUUGCUUUUGGAGGCUGAAAAUUCGACCUAAUAGAAAAAGAAGGGAGUUGGACAGGGAGUUUUUUGGUGAGGAAUAUUAUACAAAUAGGAUAUCAAAUCUUGUCGUCGAUCUGUCUUCCAAUAUUUUUCGAGAUUCAAGAUUCCUUUGGGUCUUAUCGCUAUUGUUCGUUUCUGGUUUGUGGUGUUGGAAUCACUUUAAGCUCGUUGUAAACCCAGAACACUGCCCAGGAAAAGGGAUGGGAGGCCCAAUUCCCUAUACCUAACAAGCCUGCUGAAAUGGAGAACAAGUCUUGAAAAGGCAAACAAAUCCCGAAUGUGAAGAAUGCGCGCAAAUCAAGGAGCCAAAGAAUUUGGGCCAAGAGUUCAAAUUUACUUUGAUUAUUGUAUUUUAUUAUUAUUUUUGGUGCCUAAGCCAUUGUCUUUGUUUUAGUAUUAAUAUUUAUUUUAGUAUUAGAACAGGUACAAAUCAAAAAUGGGUCAAAAACCUAAAACAAAUGGGUCCAAAUACCGGUCCAGGAGGACAGAAUUGAGAUUUGGACCCAACUCUUUCUCUUUUACUUCAUCGCGUUA